rnacentral:rRNA from 1 species
UACGGAGGGUGCGAGCGUUGUCCGGAAUCACUGGGCGUAAAGGGCGCGUAGGCGGCGCGGGAAGUCAUCGGUGAAAGUUCAGGGCUCAACUCUGAAUCGGCCGGUGAUACUCUCGUGCUCGAGCACUGUAGAGGCAGGUGGAAUUCCGGGUGUAGCGGUGGAAUGCGUAGAGAUCCGGAAGAACACCGGUGGCGAAGGCGGCCGUGCUGGGCAGUGAGCUGACGCUGAUGCGCGACAGCGUGGGGAGCAAACAGG